GCUUAGUAGCUGAGCAGGCUUGAACGGUCCUGUGUGCUGUGCUCUCUGUCCUGCUGCUGGAUGCUGUGAAGGGAGCUCAGGCAAGCUCCGAAGUUGCGACAUGGAUGCAUUGACCUAUGAUGAUGUGCAUGUGAACUUCACUCAAGAAGAAUGGGCUUUGCUGAACCCUACACAGAGGAAUCUCUACAAAGAUGUGAUGUUGGAGAUCUACAGGAACCUCAAAGCUGCUACAAUUGGGAAGACCAAAACACUGAAGAAUAUUGUCAAAGUUCCAGAAAACAUGGAAGGCAUGAAAGAAGUCGUACUGGAGAAAAACCCUCUGAAAAUACUAAAUGUGGUAAAGCCUUUGCAUGUCACAGUCAUCCCCAAAAGUAUGAAAGAAUUCAUACUGGAGAGAAACCCAAUGAUGGUAUUCAGUAUGGUGAAGCCUUUGUACAUCACUGUAGUCUCCAAAUGCAUAAAAUAAUACAUACUGGAAAGAAACCC
rnacentral:lncRNA from 1 species